rnacentral:lncRNA from 1 species
AUUACAUCACAAUUGACCUAUUGUUGAGGUCUCCAUUUGCCCUUGCCAACCUGGACUCAUAAUUUUUUACUAAUGGACAAAUUACAUUUUGUACUCUUUCACUCUAAUGCAAAAAGAAACAGACACAGAGAGAGAGAUAGAAAUAGUGACAUAAAUGGCCCAGAUAAUGCUAGAAAACCCCAUUUUAUGAGAAACCUUCACAAAAUCAACAGUUUCCAGAUGGUGUUUCAUAGAGAUCUAAGGAGCCAGGUAACAUCCUCUGAAGCAAGGGAAUUAGGAGAUAAAGAGAGGCUGGAGGAGCACAGUGGACGUUCGACCUCAGACUUUGACUUGCCUCAACCUACUUUACAAUUUAGGCCUCAACUAAAGACAAAAUGUGAAGAUGCUUUGAUACCAAGUUUAUCCAGCAUUAUUCAUUGAAAAGACUGUCCUAUUGCCAUUGAAAUACCUGGACAAUUUUGUUGAAAAUCAACUGACUAUGAAUGUCUGAGACUAUUUCUGAAUUAUUAAUUUAGUUCUAUUUAGUCUAUGUAGAACAAAAUUGUAUAUGUCCGUACUUACAUCAAUAUCAGACCCUCUAGAAUAUUUUAGUUU